GUCAUUUAGAGCCGGAAAGGCGCCUAGAUACCGCGAUACUUGCGGGUAUCCUGGAGCUGGUGAGCAGUGACUCUCCUGUUCUUGCAACAUUUGACUGAAGAAGGACAACAGUGUCGAGGUUUGAGGACUGACAGAUUCUAGACCCAGGCUUCCUCAGCCCCUAGAAAGCCACCAGACCCCACAUGGAACCAAAGGCCCCAUGCCCAGCUGCCGUCCCCUCAGAGGAGAGGAAGUUCCGUGUUCUUGUGGGCGUCACUGGAAGCGUGGCCGCUCUGAAGCUGCCUCUCCUGGUAUCUAAGCUUUUGGACAUUCCUGGGCUGGAAGUCACAGUGGUAACAACAGAGAGAGCCAAACAUUUCUACAGCCCUCAGGAUGUCCCCGUCACCCUCUACAGUGACGCUGAUGAAUGGGAGAUGUGGAAACGCCGUUCUGACCCAGUUCUCCACAUUGACCUGCGGAGGUGGGCUGACCUCAUGCUAGUGGCUCCCCUCGAUGCCAACACUCUGGGGAAGGUGGCCAGUGGCAUCUGUGACAAUUUGCUUGACCAAGCCAGAGCCUGAGUGGAAAUGAUGAGGGAUGAAGAGACAGCCCUCCCUCCCAAGGAUGCAAGAACAGAUCUCUGUAGAUGGGUGAUACCCCGUCAUCCCUAGGCAACAGCUGCUCUGCUGACCAUGGCAAGGACAGUAGGGAGGAUUUGGGGGGACUGAGAAGGGUUAGUAGGCAGAGCAUCAGCAUCUCCCCCCACUCCCCUUCUUUAUAGACCUGUGUCAUCCGGGCCUGGGAUCUAAACAAGCCCCUACUCUUCUGCCCCGCCAUGAACACUGCCAUGUGGGAGCAUCCUCUCACCGCACAGCAGGUGGCCCAGCUCAAGGCCUUUGGCUACGUGGAGAUUCCCUGUGUGAGCAAGAAGCUGGUGUGUGGAGACCAAGGUCUAGGAGCCAUGGCUGAAGUGGAGACCAUUGUGGCUAAGGUGCAGGCCGUGCUCUCCCAGCAUGGUAGCAUCCAGCAGAGUUGACCUGGGAUUUCUGCCAUGAUGCCCCUGCACCAGUGAGUUCAGCCUGAGCUGUUGAAGAAGGAUAUCGGCACAGUAUGAAGAGCUUGUGCUGGUUGACGAGGGGCUAGCCUGAACCUUCUUGGGAUUUCCCUUCAGUCUAACCCUCUUCAAGCUACACGGAACCACAGACCCAGGUCCUACCUUCUUUCUACCAAGAGAUGCCUGCUUCCUGGAGGCCCUCCCAUUUCUUUCUGGGAUAGCCCAAAUAGACUAGGCAAGCACACUGCUACUGGAAGGGUAAUUGAAUGACUGAGGGACCUCCUGCCUGGGAAUUGCUUUUAGACACACCAUUGAUGAAGCUGGGCAUGGAGGCUCACAUCUGUAAUCCUAGCACUCAGAAGGCUGAGGCAGGAUUGCUACAACUUUGAAGUUGGCUUGGGCUACAUAGUGAGCCAGGCCUGUGAGUGUGAUAGCAAGAAGAAACACCAUAGCUCAAGACCCCUGACAUAGCAGGACACAGCAGGCUCCUGGUCGGGCCUGGAAGCUCCCAGUCUUUGGUGCCCAGGUGUCGCACAAAGUCGUGAAGUCUGUGAGGUAGUCAAACUCUUCAGAUUUCCCACAGUCUGUACUGAGAGUAGGGGCACGAACAGGUCUGGGAAAUAAAGAAAAGUGACCUUUUA